UCUAGCAGUGUCGGUGAGGUAACAUGGGCGCCGCUGCUACGAGUAACUGUGUUCUGGUCAACGAAGAGAGCCACACCAAACAGUUCUCCCCCAAGGCUCUCGUCCUGUGCUUCGUCUGGUUUUAUCUGGUGAUACUGAUGAACGCCUUCAACAGUGUACCAGCAGGAGUGUUGGAUGCUGGACUACCGUUUACUCCCGUUCCCGUUAAUCCUACCGUUAACUCAGGAACGGGGGGGGAGGGACAGAUGAUCAGCCAUUGAGUAGUUCAUGAUAGUAGGAACAGCUGCGUAUAGAUAUUAAACUCUUAUUAUGGCCCUACAUCCGGCUUUUAAUGUGAUUUUAUUAAAGCCGGAUGUGUUGCUGGUUACAAUGAACUCAGAUACAGUCCAAACAAUCAUUCGUGUAUAGAUAUAACUGUUGAUAUAUAUAUAUAUUUUUACCUUAUAUAGCUGUGUUGUUGGAGGUUAAUUAUAGUUAUUGUAAUUUUGUGAUGUAAAGUCUUAAUUAAAUACAAAGGUUCUCCCA